UAACGCUUUAGAUAACGCUCCAUUUCUCAUCUGUGUAUAGGUGUCAUAAGCCAACCAACUUGUAACGACAUAAACGACCUUCCUUUCCCAAAACAAAGCAAAUUUCAUCACUCACAUAUAUCUCUAAUGCUACUUUGCCCUGUUUCUUUCAUCACAAUUUCCCUUCUUUUCUCCCCAUGACCUUGCUUUGAAUUCUCUUUCUAGCUUAAAGGGAGUAGCCUCCUCUGUUUUUCUUGACCAUAUCUCUCUUUUUUGGAGCAAACCCAUUUUUUGUAUUACUUUCUUGAACUUUUUUCUUUGCCUUUUCCUUGCUAGCUUUCAUUUUUCGACAAGAUUUCUCUAAAAUCCAUCCAUUCUGCACCAGGAGUUUCGAUUUUGGCCGUGGCUAGUUUUAUCAAUAAUCUUGAACUGACACUGGGGCAAGUAGUUUUUUUUUCAUCAAAAUAAAAUAAGAAUUGAAGCAGUGAAUCAAAUUGCAAUCAUGAAUCCAUAUCUAACAGUGAAGCAAGAGUACGCAGGAUCAAGUUUAUUGCCUCUGUCCGGCGGUGAUGAGCCGCCAACAAUGAUGCUCCCACCACAGCCGAUGGAAGGUUUACAUGAUACAGGACCACCGCCAUUCCUGACCAAGACUUUUGACAUGGUGGAUGACCCAAUGACUAAUCACAUAGUUUCUUGGAGCAGAGGAGGGUUUAGCUUUGUUGUUUGGGAUCCUUAUUCUUUCUCCGCAAAUCUCCUUCCUAGAUACUUCAAGCAUAAUAAUUUCUCCAGCUUUGUCAGGCAGCUCAAUACUUAUGGCUUUAGAAAGAUUGAUCCAGAUAGAUGGGAGUUUGCCAAUGAAGGAUUUCUGAGGGGUCAAAAGCAGCUUCUAAGGAAUAUAAAGAGAAGAAAGGCAGCUUCUCAGCCUCUUUCUCAACAGCAAGCUCCAGAUGCCUGUGUUGAAGUUAGCCGUUUUGGAUUAGAUGGAGAAAUCGAUCUCUUGAAACGUGACAGGCACGUUUUGAUGAUGGAAUUAGCGAAGCUUAGACAGCAGCAACAGAAAGCUAGAUCUUAUAUACAAGCUAUGGAGCAAAGGCUACAAGGGACAGAACAAAAGCAGCAGCAGAUGAUGCAAUUCUUAGCUCGAGCAAUGCAAAAUCCUGCCUUUCUACUGCAGUUAGUCCAACAGAAAGGGAAAAGGAAAGAACUUGAGGAAGCAAUGACUAAAAAGAGAAGAAUUCCUGUUGAUCAAAGACCUAGUCGAAGUGGUGGUGGUGAAUCAAACCGUAUUGAUGAAAGUGCAAACCCCAUCAAGGCAGAGGCUUUAGAAUAUGGAGACUACGGAUUUGAAGUGUCAGAGCUGGAGGCACUUGCAUUGGAAAUGCAAGGGUAUGGCAGGGCAAGGAGAGAGCAAGAGGAUGGAGUAGAAGAGCUAGAGCCACUAGAAAGCGGAGAUAGAGAACUUGACGAGGGAUUUUGGGAAGAACUGUUAAAUGAGAGUGCUGGAGGAGGUGAAGAUGAGGAUGUGAAUACAUUAGCUGAGCGCUUGGGUUAUUUGCGUUCAAGUCCUAAGUACAGAAAUUGAACAAUUUUCCGCAUUGCUAACCACCACCACCACUUAAUUCCAGCAAUGAUCAUUUCAUUGCGGUAGCAGGUUUCCAUGGUCAUAUUGUUAGUUGAUAGUCUUUUUUGCGGCAAUGGGUCCUUUCAAAAGUCAUUAGGCUAUAAUCUUCACCUGCGUUUCUUGCUAUUGCGUUUCUUUCUGGUGUUUCUAACCCUUGUAUUUUGUCAAUUUCUCCGUUUUGUACAUCCUUUCGUCUUGUUUUUCUCCAUCUUGGUUAGGUUGCAGCAGUGCUCGGACAGAGUCUGGUAGUCCUUAUCAUGAUUUGUCUCAAAGACUGUUGAGAUGCUGUUGAGUUGGACGAGGUGUGGCUGCAAGUUGCAAGAAGCCACAACUAGUUGCCUUUGGAUUCAAACAACCGACUAGGUAGUUAACCGCGUCGGCUUGAUUUUUCUUUUUCUUGAUCUGUCUUUUCUUUUAUGCAAGGGAAAGGGAGAUUUGGUCGGUGAUGAAAUUCUUGAAGUUGCUUCUGUACCAUAUGUAGAUUUUUUUCAUGACUCUGCAAUUUGGCUCUUGAUUUUUCAUUUUCAUUGCCCGCGGGGCUCCAAAGGUCCAGGAUACAUCGCAUUGAUUUCCUGACCAAUAACCAACAAAUGCGCUCGUGGUGACAUUUUGUGGCGGAUCGUGGUGCUGUCCUCGAAAUGGUGAUGAAUAGCAGUCGCUUUCGGAAAACCAGCACCAUCGAUCUUCAUGGGCAGCUGCCCUCCUGUACGAUGAGCUCUUAAUUUAUCUGACUUGUCGUUGCAUGAACCAUGUGAACUUCGCCUAAAAACACGAAAUUGAAUGAAGGAGAAGGACUGCUUAAAAUAUCCAUGAUCCUCUAUUCCUCU